rnacentral:rRNA from 1 species
AUUGAACGCUGGCGGCAGGCCUAACACAUGCAAGUCGAACGAGUGGCGGACGGGUGAGUAAUGUCUGGGAAACUGCCUGAUGGUGGGGGAUAACUACUGGAAACGGUAGCUAAUACCGCAUACCAUCGGAUGUGCCCAUAUGGGAUUAGCUAGUAGGGGGGGUAACGGCUCACCUAGGCGACGAUCCCUAGCUGGUGUGAGAGGAGGACAGGCCACACUGGAACUGAGACAAGGGCCAGACUCCUACGGGAGGCAGCAGUGGGGAAUAUUGCACAAUGGGCGCAAGCCUGAUGCAGCCAUGCCGCGUGUAUGAAGAAGGCCUUCGGGGUGUAAAGUACUUUCAGCGGGGAGGCGUUACCCGCAGAAGAAGCACCGGCUAACUCCGUGCCAGCAGCCGCGGUAAUUC